CCUACGGGAGGCAGCAGUAGGGAAUUUUUCACAAUGGGCGAAAGCCUGAUGGAGCAAUGCCGCGUGAAUGAUGAAGGUCUUAUAGAUUGUAAAAUUCUUUUAUUUGGGAAGAAAAACUAAAGUAGGAAAUGACUUUAGUCUGACUGUACCAUUUGAAUAAGUAUCGGCUAACUAUGUGCCAGCAGCCGCGGUAAUACAUAGGAUGCAAGCGUUAUCCGGAUUUACUGGGCGUAAAACGAGCGCAGGCGGGUUAACAAGUUUGGUAUGAAAGGCUUUUGCUUAACGAAAGUUUGUAUCAAAAACUGUUAAUCUAGAGUGUAGUAGAGAGUUCUGGAAUUCCAUGUGGAGCGGUGAAAUCCGUAGAUAUCUGGAGGAACAUCAGUGGCGAAGGCGACUAUCUGGCACAUAACUGACGCUGAGGAGCGAAAGCGUGGGUAGCAAACAGGAUUAGAUACCCGUGUAGUC
rnacentral:rRNA from 1 species